GCAGGAGUGGUUCAGUGACGGAAUUCUCACCUUCCAUGUGGGAGACCUGGGUUCAGUUCCCAGCCAAUGCA
rnacentral:tRNA from 1 species